rnacentral:ncRNA from 1 species
AGCAUUCCCACGGGUGCCCCACGGCAAGGGGCUGAGAUCGGGCUGAGGCCGCCCGAGCACCGUCGAACCUGUCCGGGUCAUGCCGGCGAAGGAAGAUGGAGUUGGUCGCGCUG